UGAACAUUUUAUUUUUAUCUUAUACACACAUUGCACGUAGCUAAAUGCUCUGCUCAUGAUGGUGCCUUUCUUUAGGAGUAUGCUGCUUUUUUCACACCCUCAAAACCUUUUCCUUCUUUGUACUUUUUCUUGUGUAUGUUUUGGCUAAUUUUUUCCAGAGGAUAUGUUUUCCCCAUUCAUUUUUUUAUAUAGAGUGGG